GGCUCCUGUGGAGGCCUGCUGAGAACGGGACUUCUGAAAGGAGCUAUGUCUGGAAUGCUGUGGUCCAAGGCUAUUUUUGCUGACUAUAAGCGGGGUCUCCAGAACCAAAAGGAGCACACAGCUCUUCUUAAAAUUGAAGGUGUUUACGCCCACCAUGAAACAGAAUUCUACUUGGGCAAGAGAUGUGCUUAUGUACACAAAGCAACGAACAACACAGUGACUCCUGGCGGCAAACCAAACAAAACCAGAGUAAUCUGGGCAAGGUAACUGGGGCACGAAAACAGUAGCAUGGUUUGUGCCAAAUUCCGAAGCAUCAUUCCUGCUAAGGCUAUUGGACACAGAAUCUGAGUGAUGCUAUACCCCCCAAGAAUUUAAACUAGUGAAAAGUCAAUAAAUAAACGUGGAUUUGUGCCCUUGUAUUUUUGUUAAGUGGAUUAAAAAACUUACUACCUAAAAA